AUGACCACCACCGCAUGUGAACUCGGAGAUGGAAAUUUGUCAGCGAUUGUUCAAUGCCGAGUGAGUUGGAAUUGGCGUUCCUCGCAUCGAUCUGCACCCUUGACAGUCCAGAUUACUGCAGACAGAACUAUGCGAUUCGGGCGUGUUCAAUCGCAGGAUGUAGGAUGGACGAAGCGAACCCAAUCGACUGUCAUGCGAUCGGAAGAGUGUCUAGUUUACUCGAGAAUUUUCGCCACAAGCUUGUGAUGGACCAGUUUUUUGCAAUAGAUGGGGUUGGCAUGAUGUGCGUGAGUUCGUGAGACUUGGCAUUUCGAAGGGCUGGACAAUGGCGACGGAGAGCUGGGAGUGCGUGGAGGAGAGCGCCCCGCACUCAGAGUCGGAGGAUGCCUGCGGUAGCACUGUCUCGUAUGCAUACUCUGUCUGUGGUUCUGCAAGCGAAGGAAGCAAACAUCCUUCCGUGGUUCCGAAUUCUGAUCGAAUCUACAUCAACAUGGUGGAAAGGAUGAAGCAACGCAAACAGAGACGUCGGGAACUUGAGAUGCAAUAUGAAAUUGCUCGGAAGCAGAAAGAGGAGAAGAAGCGACUGACAGAGGAGCUGAAGUUGACCAUGGAUAAGCUCCAGAGAAAGGCGAUGGUGGAACAGAGAAAGAAUCAGGAGGAGAGGCAGAAUCAGCUUAAGAGGCAAGCUCAGCAAAGGCGUGAAUUGCUAUGCCAGCAGCGAGAGCUGGCCAACCUGCAUAACUGUCGAAGAAUUCUUAUGCACUAUGGUUUGCUGCCCUGGCGCCGCUUUAUGCUUGAAUGCAGGAGAAGCGUAAAGGCUGCUUCGCUGAACUAUGAACGCCUCCUUAUGAAGCGAGCACUGCAAUGGCUUCACAUCCGCUACAUUCAAGGGAAGUUAUCUCCAAAACAACGUGCUCGUAGUCUUAUUUUGCGCGCACAAGCUAUGCAAUCGAGGUGGAGAGUAAGAUAUUUUUGGCAUUAUUGGCUUGAAGGACGGCGAGGAGAUCACCUUCAUCAACAGCUCUUCCUAAAGCGUUGUUGGAAGGCGCUGAAAGAGAUCUUGGAAUACAGCAGAAAACUAGGUCGAAUAGGAGACCAAAGGAACCGUUUCCUGCUUUUGUCAAGGUCAUGGUCAAAGUGGACUGAUUAUGCUAGAAGGGUGAAGAGUUUUCAGCUCUUGAAGUACUUGGAGAUUGAACAGAUUGCAUCUCUUCAUUGGAAGCGGAUAACUUAUGUUCGGAUUUUAAGAGCAUGGAAAGACGGAAUGGGGGUCGUGAGGCAAGAGAAGAAGCGGAUGAAACAGAGGGCCGAGGCAUGGACCAAAAUUCACUCCUGGCUAGAUGAAUAUGAAGAAGUAAGCUGAAUUGCAGGACCAAAGUGAUUAUUAGAGUCCAUUUGAGUAUUCAAUCUGGCAUUAUCAUGUAGUGGAUCUAAAGGCGUCGUUAUGAGUUGGAAACCUCGUUGCAAGCUAGUAUUGUGUUCGAGAACUUAUCUUUCACUACCCGCAAGAACGCUGGCAAGACUUUUGCCAUCAAUAGCAGCUGAUCAAUAUUGCAUCGCGGUAAAAAUUCACAAUAUCCAGAUCGGAUCAACAACUUCAGAGGUACGAGACAGAACUCAGAAAAUUGUGCACUUGUCCAGGACACCGAAAUCUCAAAUUUUCAGAACUCGCUGUCGUUCUUAAAAAAAUCAGGAACCCUACUCACGGCGCAUUACCCUGCGAAUACACUGAAGGAAUACGCGGAUGAGCAUGCUGUGGGAUGGUAAAUGCUACUGAAUUUCCGGAGUGACUACAAGUCGCCCUGAAUCACUUGAAAUUACUUCGAAAAAGGCGUCAUGCGGAUGUCACAAACCUUACGAAGCAAUUGAAUGCUCGAGGUCAGAUGACCUACAGGAAAUACCUUUGAUGCGAUGAGAUUAUAUCGAUUGCUGCCCAAAUAAUGGCUUUCAAAAACAAACAAAACAAAAUAAAAGCAAAACAAGUUAAUAAUAAACUGCAAACGAUUCCAGAUAGGUUUCAGAACUUGCAGUUUUAGCCGUUGGGUAUCAUUCCUCAGAAGCUGAAGAAUUGUAAAGUUCCAGUCUUUAGCAAUGCCCGAAAUCCUUGUUAUACACCUCCUGCACCUUCCUCAGCAAGUUGAAUGGCUGAAAGGACGUUCUAACA